UUGAACGCUGGCGGCAGGCCUAACACAUGCAAGUCGAGCGGUAACACAGAGAGCUUGCUCUCGGGUGACGAGCGGCGGACGGGUGAGUAAUGUCUGGGAAACUGCCUGAUGGAGGGGGAUAACUACUGGAAACGGUAGCUAAUACCGCAUAACGUCGCAAGACCAAAGUGGGGGACCUUCGGGCCUCAUGCCAUCAGAUGUGCCCAGAUGGGAUUAGCUAGUAGGUGGGGUAACGGCUCACCUAGGCGACGAUCCCUAGCUGGUCUGAGAGGAUGACCAGCCACACUGGAACUGAGACACGGUCCAGACUCCUACGGGAGGCAGCAGUGGGGAAUAUUGCACAAUGGGCGCAAGCCUGAUGCAGCCAUGCCGCGUGUGUGAAGAAGGCCUUCGGGUUGUAAAGCACUUUCAGCGGGGAGGAAGGCGGUGAGGUUAAUAACCUCAUCGAUUGACGUUACCCGCAGAAGAAGCACCGGCUAACUCCGUGCCAGCAGCCGCGGUAAUACGGAGGGUGCAAGCGUUAAUCGGAAUUACUGGGCGUAAAGCGCACGCAGGCGGUCUGUCAAGUCGGAUGUGAAAUCCCCGGGCUCAACCUGGGAACUGCAUCUGAUACUGGCAAGCUUGAGUCUCGUAGAGGGGGGUAGAAUUCCAGGUGUAGCGGUGAAAUGCGUAGAGAUCUGGAGGAAUACCGGUGGCGAAGGCGGCCCCCUGGACAAAGACUGACGCUCAGGUGCGAAAGCGUGGGGAGCAAACAGGAUUAGAUACCCUGGUAGUCCACGCCGUAAACGAUGUCGAUUUGGAGGUUGUGCCCUUGAGGCGUGGCUUCCGGAGCUAACGCGUUAAAUCGACCGCCUGGGGAGUACGGCCGCAAGGUUAAAACUCAAAUGAAUUGACGGGGGCCCGCACAAGCGGUGGAGCAUGUGGUUUAAUUCGAUGCAACGCGAAGAACCUUACCUGGUCUUGACAUCCACAGAACUUUCCAGAGAUGGAUUGGUGCCUUCGGGAACUGUGAGACAGGUGCUGCAUGGCUGUCGUCAGCUCGUGUUGUGAAAUGUUGGGUUAAGUCCCGCAACGAGCGCAACCCUUAUCCUUUGUUGCCAGCGGUUAGGCCGGGAACUCAAAGGAGACUGCCAGUGAUAAACUGGAGGAAGGUGGGGAUGACGUCAAGUCAUCAUGGCCCUUACGACCAGGGCUACACACGUGCUACAAUGGCAUAUACAAAGAGAAGCGACCUCGCGAGAGCAAGCGGACCUCAUAAAGUAUGUCGUAGUCCGGAUUGGAGUCUGCAACUCGACUCCAUGAAGUCGGAAUCGCUAGUAAUCGUAGAUCAGAAUGCUACGGUGAAUACGUUCCCGGGCCUUGUACACACCGCCCGUCACACCAUGGGAGUGGGUUGCAAAAGAAGUAGGUAGCUUAACCUUCGGGAGGGCGCUUACCACUUUGUGAUUCAUGACUGGGGUG
rnacentral:rRNA from 1 species